AACGAACGCUGGCGGCGGGCCUCAAACAUGCAAGUCUAGGGGGUGUAGCAAUACAUCACCGGCGGACGGGUGCGUAACGCGUGGGAAUAUACCUAUUGGUGCGGAACAACUGAGGGAAACUUCAGCUAAUACCGAAUGUGCCCUUACGGGGAAAGAUUUAUCGCCAAUGGAUUAGCCCGCGUCCGAUCAACUANUUGGUGAGGGGGCCCCCAGCAAUGCUCCGAUCGGUAGCAGUUCUGAGAGGAAGAUCAGCCAGAUUGGUACUGAGAGAGCGCGCACAGUCCCUACUGGACGCGGGAACCCGGCAAACCAAGACAACACGCCAGGCCGAAUCCCCCCCCGCGAGUCCC
rnacentral:rRNA from 1 species